rnacentral:lncRNA from 1 species
UAUCAAGUCGAGCCAUUAUUUUUCUGUUAGCAGCACCUUGAUUACUCUAGGAGAGCCAAUUACCCACAGAUUUCAUAUCAAACAAUGCUGCAGUGUCAAUGUAAUCAUUAAAACUUUGAAGCUGGCUUUCUGAAAGUUGUCUACCCCCCUCUUUUUCAUUUGUAUACCGAACAGUAUUAAAGUCUCCAAGAACAAUCCAAGGUACAUUGAGACAACCAUUUACAAUAUUAGUCAGGUCAGACCAAAGAGUAUUUCUU